GAUGAACGCUGGCGGCGUGCCUAAUACAUGCAAGUCGAGCGAACGGACGAGAAGCUUGCUUCUCUGAUGUUAGCGGCGGACGGGUGAGUAACACGUGGAUAACCUACCUAUAAGACUGGGAUAACUUCGGGAAACCGUAGCUAAUACCGGAUAAUAUUUUGAACCGCAUGGUUCAAAAGUGAAAGACGGUCUUGCUGUCACUUAUAGAUGGAUCCGCGCUGCAUUAGCUAGUUGGUAAGGUAACGGCUUACCAAGGCAACGAUGCAUAGCCGACCUGAGAGGGUGAUCGGCCACACUGGAACUGAGACACGGUCCAGACUCCUACGGGAGGCAGCAGUAGGGAAUCUUCCGCAAUGGGCGAAAGCCUGACGGAGCAACGCCGCGUGAGUGAUGAAGGUCUUCGGAUCGUAAAACUCUGUUAUUAGGGAAGAACAUAUGUGUAAGUAUCUGUGCACAUCUUGACGGUACCUAAUCAGAAAGCCACGGCUAACUACGUG
rnacentral:rRNA from 1 species